rnacentral:rRNA from 1 species
CCUACGGGUGGCAGCAGUGGGGAAUAUUGGGCAAUGGGCGCAAGCCUGACCCAGCAACGCCGCGUGAAGGAAGAAGGCUUUCGGGUUGUAAACUUCUUUUCUCAGGGACGAAGCAAGUGACGGUACCUGAGGAAUAAGCCACGGCUAACUACGUGCCAGCAGCAGCGGUAAUACGUAGGUGGCAAGCGUUAUCCGGAUUUACUGGGUGUAAAGGGCGUGUAGGCGGGAAAGCAAGUCAGAUGUGAAAACCAUGGGCUCAACCUGUGGCCUGCAUUUGAAACUGUUUUUCUUGAGUACUGGGGAGGCAGGCGGAAUUCCUGGUGUAGCGGUGAAAUGCGUAGAUAUUAGGAGGAACACCAGUUGCGAAGGCGGUCUGCUGGACAGCAACUGACGCUGAGGCGCGAAAGCGUGGGGAUCAAACAGGAUUAGAUACCCCAGUAGUC